GAUGAAGAACGUAGCGAAAUGCGAUAAGUAAUGUGAAUUGCAGAAUUCAGUGAAUCAUCGAAUAUUUGAACGCACAUUGCGCCCUCUGGUAUUCCGGGGGGCAUGCCUGUUCGAGCGUCAUUACAACCCUCAAGCUUUGCUUGGUAUUGGACAUUGCCAGUUUCUGGCAGGUCUUAAAAUCAGUGGCGGUGCCAUUUGGCUUCAAGCGUAGUAAUUCUUCUCGCUUUGGAGAUCCAAGUGGUUACUUGCCAAUAACCCCCAAUUUUUUCAGGUUGACCUCGGAUCAGGUAGGGAUACCCGCUGAACUUAAGCAUAUCAAUAAGCGGAGGA
rnacentral:misc_RNA from 1 species